rnacentral:rRNA from 1 species
UACGUAGGGUGCGAGCGUUAUCCGGAAUUAUUGGGCGUAAAGAGCUCGUAGGCGGUUUGUCGCGUCUGCUGUGAAAACUGGAGGCUCAACCUCCAGCCUGCAGUGGGUACGGGCAAACUAGAGUGCGGUAGGGGAGAUUGGAAUUCCUGGUGUAGCGGUGGAAUGCGCAGAUAUCAGGAGGAACACCGAUGGCGAAGGCAGAUCUCUGGGCCGUAACUGACGCUGAGGCACGAAGGCCAGGGGAGCAAACGGG